rnacentral:lncRNA from 1 species
UUUGGUUUAGGUAGGGUAUGAAAUUGGAACAAGGGUUUUUUUUUUCUUUUGGGUUGUAACGGGGUUUUGGUUUAGGUAGGCUAUGAAAUUUGAACAAAGGUUUUUGGUUCAGAGUACAUGAAAUCAUUCUCUCACUACGUUUCUUUUCUAUUAUUCCUGUAGGGUUAUGCAAUCCUCUUUUCCUUUUAUCUAUAGUGAAUGUAGCAUCUUUCAAAACCUGUUCUUUUAUUGUUUUUCGCUUUUCUCUUUCUUUCUUUUCAUGUUGUUGUUGUUUUUU